UACAGAGACUGCAAGCGUUAUUCGGAUUCACUGGGCGUAAAGGGUGCGCAGGCGGCCAAGUGUGUGAGGCGUGAAAGCCCGGGGCUUAACCCCGGAAUUGCACCUCAAACUACAUGGCUAGAGCGUUGGAGAGGGUAGCGGAAUUCACGGUGUAGCAGUGAAAUGCGUAGAUAUCAGGAGGAACACCAAUGGCGAAGGCAGCACUCUGGGACGUGACUGACGCUGAGGAGCGAAAGCGUGGGUAGCAAACAGG
rnacentral:rRNA from 1 species